rnacentral:misc_RNA from 1 species
AAAGUCGUAACAAGGUUUCCGUAGGUGAACCUGCGGAAGGAUCAUUACAAAAAAAAAAUCCGUUUUCUCUCUCCUGUUAGACAUUAAAUUGUUCUAACAAGAGGGCGAAAAUAAACCCCAUGUGCACUGUUAAUCGUAGUUGUACCUUUUCGGUGGGCUUGAAAGGGAUAUAGAUUGGUGUUGCAUUCAGAGGCUAUCUCUUUUUUCAACCCCCCCAAUCCAUUUCCCCUACUGCCGGAAAAGUGCAGCAUUAUACAAACUCUUUAAUCUUUAGCCUAAAAUAAAAAGUAUAAAUUUUAAACAACUUUCAACAACGGAUCUCUUGGCUCUC